GGGGUAUAGCUCAGUUGGGAGAGCGCCUGCCUUGCAAGCAGGAGGUCACGAGUUCGAAUCUCGUUAUCUCC
rnacentral:tRNA from 1 species